ACGGAGGAUCCAAGCGUUAUCCGGAUUUAUUGGGUUUAAAGGGUGCGCAGGCGGGCAUAUAAGUCAGUGGUGAAAUCUCCCGGCUCAACUGGGAAACUGCCAUUGAUACUGUAUGUCUAGAGUGCAGAUGAGGUAGGCGGAAUGUGUCAUAGACCGGUGAACUACUUUUCCAUGACACUGAAGCCCGAUAGCGAGGGGAGCGAACCGGAUUGGAUCCGAGGUUCGUGCAGGAGAUUGUGUGGAGGGAUGAG
rnacentral:rRNA from 1 species